GUUGUUACUGCAGACUCUGAAAUAUUCAGCUCACACAGCAAAAACCGACGAUAAACAGAAGAAAACCUGGAAGCUAACGAUGCUAGCGCCUUGUUGUUUACUUCCGCCGGAAGUCUCACACGCGGUACUUCCAUCUGUCCAGGAUCCAGUUUGAGGACCUGCUGUCCCUCGUGGGGAUGAAUCAGCCUUCAGGACACCAACUACAGGCGCUGUCUCCCCGCUGCAGAACACCUUUUCAUCUGUCUUUGUUGGAACACACCCUCCGGUCACCCUUCUUAUGAAGGGGGACCACCACCCCAGUCUGCCAAUCCAAAGGCACUGUCCCCGUCCGCCAUGCAAUGUUGAAGAAGCGUGUUAACCAUGACAGGCCCACAACAUCCAAAGACUUGAGGUACUCAGGGCGGAUCUCAUCCAACCCCAAAGCCUUGCCACCGCGGAGCUUUUUAACCACCUCGGUGACUUCAGCCUGGGUGA